rnacentral:rRNA from 1 species
CCUUGAAAUACCACCCUUUAAUGUUUGAUGUUCUAACGUUGACCCGUGAUCCGGGUUGCGGACAGUGUCUGGUGGGUAGUUUGACUGGGGCGGUCUCCUCCUAAAGAGUAACGGAGGAGCACGAAGGUUGGCUAAUCCUGGUCGGACAUCAGGAGGUUAGUGCAAUGGCAUAAGCCAGCUUGACUGCGAGCGUGACGGCGCGAGCAGGUGCGAAAGCAGGUCAUAGUGAUCCGGUGGUUCUGAAUGGAAGGGCCAUCGCUCAACGGAUAAAAGGUACUCCGGGGAUAACAGGCUGAUACCGCCCAAGAGUUCAUAUCGACGGCGGUGUUUGGCACCUCGAUGUCGGCUCAUCACAUCCUGGGGCUGAAGUAGGUCCCAAGGGUAUGGCUGUUCGCCAUUUAAAGUGGUACGCGAGCUGGGUUUAGAACGUCGUGAGACAGUUCGGUCCCUAUCUGCCGUGGGCGCUGGAGAACUGAGGGGGGCUGCUCCUAGUACGAGAGGACCGGAGUGGACGCAUCACUGGUGUUCGGGUUGUCAUGCCAAUGGCACUGCCCGGUAGCUAAAUGCGGAAGAGAUAAGUGCUGAAAGCAUCUAAGCACGAAACUUGCCCCGAGAUGAGUUCUCCCUGACUCCUUGAGAGUCCUGAAGGAACGUUGAAGACGACGACGUUGAUAGGCCGGGUGUGUAAGCGCAGCGAUGCGUUGAGCUAACCGGUACUAAUGAACCGUGAGGCUUAACCUUACAACGCCG